rnacentral:rRNA from 1 species
GACGAACGCUGGCGGCGUGCUUAACACAUGCAAGUCGAACGGAAAGGCCCUGCUUUUGUGGGGUGCUCGAGUGGCGAACGGGUGAGUAACACGUGAGUAACCUGCCCUUGACUUUGGGAUAACUUCAGGAAACUGGGGCUAAUACCGGAUAGGAGCUCCUGCUGCAUGGUGGGGGUUGGAAAGUUUCGGCGGUUGGGGAUGGACUCGCGGCUUAUCAGCUUGUUGGUGGGGUAGUGGCUUACCAAGGCUUUGACGGGUAGCCGGCCUGAGAGGGUGACCGGCCACAUUGGGACUGAGAUACGGCCCAGACUCCUACGGGAGGCAGCGGUGGGGAAUAUUGCACAAUGGGCGGAAGCCUGAUGCAGCAACGCCGCGUGCGGGAUGACGGCCUUCGGGUUGUAAACCGCUUUCGCCUGUGACGAAGCGUAAGUGACGGUAAUGGGUAAAGAAGCACCGGCUAACUACGUG